rnacentral:misc_RNA from 1 species
GUAGGUGAACCUGCGGAAGGAUCAUUAAAAAUGAAGCCGGGAAACCGGUCCUUCUAACCCUUGAUUAUCUCAAUUUGUUGCUUUGGUGGGCCGCGCAAGCACCGGCUUUGGCUGGAUCGUGCCCGCCAGAGGACCACAACUCUGUAUUAAAUGUCGUCUGAGUAAAAAGUUUAAUAUUUAAAACUUUCAACAACGGAUCUCUUGGCUCUG